rnacentral:tRNA from 2 species
UCGAAUCCUUCCGUCCCAG